CGCAGCUUACACAUGCAGUCGAGCGGAGAUGAGGUGCUUGCACCUUAUCUUAGCGGCGGACGGGUGAGUAAUGCUUAGGAAUCUGCCAUUUAGUGGGGGACAACAUUCCGAAAGGAAUGCUAAUACCGCAUACGUCCUACGGGAGAAAGCAGGGGAUCUUCGGACCUUGCGCUAAAUGAUGAGCCUAAGUCGGAUUAGCUAGUUGGUGGGGUAAAGGCCUACCAAGGCGACGACCUGUAGCGGGUCUGAGAGGAUGAUCCGCCACACUGGGACUGAGACACGGCCCAGACUCCUACGGGAGGCAGCAGUGGGGAAUAUUGGACAAUGGGCGGAAGCCUGAUCCAGCCAUGCCGCGUGUGUGAAGAAGGCCUUUUGGUUGUAAAGCACUUUAAGCGAGGAGGAGGCUACUAGUACUAAUACUACUGGAUAGUGGACGUUACUCGCAGAAUAAGCACCGGCUAACUCUGUGCCAGCAGCCGCGGUAAUACAGAGGGUGCGAGCGUUAAUCGGAUUUACUGGGCGUAAAGCGUGCGUAGGCGGCUUUUUAAGUCGGAUGUGAAAUCCCCGAGCUUAACUUGGGAAUUGCAUUCGAUACUGGGAAGCUAGAGUAUGGGAGAGGAUGGUAGAAUUCCAGGUGUGGCGGUGAAAUGCGUAGAGAUCUGGAGGAAUACCGAUGGCGAACGCAGCCAUCUGGCCUAAUACUGACGCUGAGGUACGAAAGCAUGGGGAGCAAACAGGAUUAGAUACCCUGGUAGUCCAUGCCGUAACGAUGUCUACUAGCCGUUGGGGCCUUCGAGGCUUUAGUGCGCAGCUACGCGAUAGUAGACGCCUGGGGGAGUACGGUCGCAGACUAA
rnacentral:rRNA from 1 species